rnacentral:rRNA from 1 species
UCAAAGAUUUUAUCGCUUGAAGAUGGACUCGCGUCCGAUUAGUUAGUGGGUGAGGUAACGUCUCACCAAGACCGCGAUCGGUAGCCGAAUUGAGAGGUUGAACGGCCACAUUGGGACUGAGACACGGCCCAGACUCCUACGGGAGGCAGCAGUGGGGGAUAUUGCGCAAUGGGGGCAACCCUGACGCAGCAACGCCGCGUGAAGGAUGAAGGUUUUCGGAUGUAAACUUCUUUUAUUAAGGGCGAAAAAUGACGGUACUUAAUGAAUAAGCUCCGGCUAACUACGUGCCAGCAGCCGCGGUAAUACGUAGGGAGCAAGCGUUGUCCGGAUUUACUGGGUGUAAAGGGUGCGUAGGCGGCUUUGCAAGUCAGAUGUGAAAUCUAUGGGCUCAACCCAUAAACUGCAUUUGAAACUGUAGAGCUUGAGUGAAGUAGAGGCAGGCGGAAUUCCCCGUGUAGCGGUGAAAUGCGUAGAGAUGGGGAGGAACACCAGUGGCGAAGGCGGCCUGCUGGGCUUUAACUGACGCUGAGGCACGAAAGCGUGGGUAGCAAACAGGAUUAGAUACCCUGGUAGUCCACGCUGU